UGUCCAGACUCCUACGGGAGGCAGCAGUGAGGAAUAUUGGUCAAUGGACGAGAGUCUGAACCAGCCAAGUAGCGUGAAGGAUGACUGCCCUAUGGGUUGUAAACUUCUUUUAUAUGGGAAUAAAAUGUUCCACGUGUGGGAUUUUGUAUGUACCAUAUGAAUAAGCAUCGGCUAACUCCGUGCCAGCAGCCGCGGUAAUACGGAGGAUGCGAGCGUUAUCCGGAUUUAUUGGGUUUAAAGGGUGCGUAGGCGGAUUUUUAAGUCAGCGGUAAAAUGUCCGGGCUCAACCCGGGCCGGCCGUUGAAACUGGGGAUCUUGAGUGGGCGAGAAGUAUGCGGAAUGCGUGGUGUAGCGGUGAAAUGCAUAGAUAUCACGCAGAACUCCGAUUGCGAAGGCAGCAUACCGGCGCCCGACUGACGCUGAGGCACGAAAGCGUGGGGAUCGAACAGGAUUAGAUACCCGCGUAUU
rnacentral:rRNA from 1 species